ensembl:ribozyme RNaseP_nuc Nuclear RNase P
GGAGCUCUGAACACCAACUGUGGUUAUGUGAGUGCCUGUACGUGUGCAUAUGUGCAACUGUUUGAAUGUGUGCACCUUACUGGGUGUGCACCUGUACUGGUGUGUACAGACGUGUACCCCCUUGUGUAUAGGUGGGGGUGCACAAACACACAGGUGAGGAGGGGAGUGUGUUUGUGAAUAUGUGCAUGAGCAUAAAAGAAUUCAAAAGUUGUGGGCAGGAGAUGCCGAGAGCCUGCCCAUGGGCAGGACCUGGAGGAUCCCUCCUUAGCUGGAGCUUGGAACAGACUCACGGCAGCCAAGUGAGUUCAAUGGCUGAGGUGAGGCACCGCCCCAGGCCUCAUAACCCAAUUCAGACUACACUCCCCCACC